CAGUGUAAUAGUUUAAUUUUAAGAAUGUAAGCUUUGGGGGUUUAUGGUCUCUUAGUUAGAGUUGACUGA
rnacentral:tRNA from 1 species